UACGAAGGUGGCGAGCGUUGUUCGGAUUCACUGGGCAUAAAGGGCACGUAGGCGGCCUUGAAAGCGGCGUGUGAAAGCCCGGAGCUCAACUCCGGAACUGCAUGCCGAACUUCAGGGCUAGAGGACAGGAGGGGAGUGUGGAACUCUAGGUGGAGCGGUGAAAUGCGUAGAUAUCUAGAGGAACGCCGGUGGCGAAAGCGACACUCUGGCCUGCCCCUGACGCUGAGGUGCGAAAGCGUGGGUAGCAAACAGG
rnacentral:rRNA from 1 species